CUCACUUCGCCAUGUUACUCCUUCACAGGUGCGCAGCCCUGACUUUCACCUGGAGCUUCUGAAGAUGCGGCGCCAGCUGCAAGCCCUUCUCUGGAGGAAGAGGCAGCUUCCGGGUGUCUCCAGGAUAUUUGCCUCAAGCCUCACACCUGCUGGGUGAGAAUGACCAAAGGCAAAACUGAUGCCCUGGAACACACACUGGACAAAUUCAGGGCUCCUUCCUGGCCCCUGCAAGAUUAGCCAGCAGGCCCAAGACUGGAUACAGCUGCUGGGCAAACUUACACCAUUCGAUGACUUUAAAAAUAUUCAAGAGCAAGCAAAGCACUGUAAUCAGUGAUAAGAGCAUAGCAGUCACCCCCACAGGCCAGGUGGAAGCCUCGUCACCACUUACUCACUGUGUGACCUUGGGCAGUUUAAUUAACAUCUCUAAGCCUCAAAGUCCCAUGUCUGAAAUGCAGAUCCUGAUAGCACCUACCUCAGAGGUUUGUGGUGAGGAUUAAAUGAUAAUCCAUGAAAAAUGCCUGGC
rnacentral:lncRNA from 1 species